rnacentral:rRNA from 1 species
AAUGAACGUUGGCGGCGUGGAUUAGGCAUGCAAGUCGUGCGAGAAGUUUCCCUUCGGGGAAAUGGACAGCGGCGCAAGGGAGAGUAACGCGUGGGUACCUGCCUCAGGGCCUGGGAUAGCUGCGGGAAACUGCAGGUAAUACCGGAUAAUGUCCCCGGACCAAAGGUGUGAUUCCGCCCUGAGAGGGGCCCGCGUCCUACUAGGUUGUUGGUGGGGUAAUGGCCUACCAAGCCUGCGAUGGGUAACGGGUGUGAGAGCAUGGCCCGUCUCACUGGGACUGAGGCACUGCCCAGACACCUACGGGUGGCUGCAGUCGCGAAUCUUCGGCAAUGGGCGCAAGCCUGACCGAGCGACGCCGCGUGCGGGAUGAAGGCCUUCGGGUUGUAAACCGCUGUCAGAGGGGAUGAAAUGCAUGAGGGCACUCUCUCAUGUUUGACAGAUCCUCAGAGGAAGGACGGGCUAAGUUCGUGCCAGCAGCCGCGGUAAGACGAACCGUCCAAACGUUAUUCGGAAUCACUGGGCUUAAAGGGUGCGUAGGCGGUGCAGUAAGUUGGGUGUGAAAUCCCUCGGCUCAACCGAGGAACUGCGCCCAAAACUG